rnacentral:lncRNA from 1 species
AGAUUUGUAACUUGUGAUCAUGAUGAUGUAUAUAUGAAGAGAAAAAUAAAAUUCCAAUAUUUUUGGGGAUCAAUAUAUAUUACGUGUUCAGGGAAUGUCAACUUUGCAUUGAUUCUCAUCGAUCAUCACUUGUGUGAUCAAUGAUGAACUAGACAGAAACUCAAAUUCAAAGUAAGAUAAUAUAGGUUGCUUCCUUUUUUUUUUGUUAAGUAACUAUGAAAGAUUAAAGUUUGCGUUCGCACUCCAUGCACGUUAUCAUUUAGGUUCAUCUUGUUUGUGUUUUUAUUUUAUUUUAAGUUUUGCAAUCGCAUGUUGGGAUUACUAUAACAAAACAGUUCAUAUAUUCUUAAUAAGACGAUGG